GACAAGGAAUCUACUCCACUAAUUAUAGGACGUCCUGGGGGAUUGAAUAAACGUUUGUGAAUUUUUGGAAUAAAAUAAAAAAUUGGAAUUCUCGGAUUACUGCUAAAUAAAAAAUCAUAAUUCACUUGUGAAAUUGUAUCAUUAGAUCUUGCUUCCUCUAAUAAAUUCUUUAGAGCCAAAUUAAAUUCCCUAGUCGGGUCCCUUGUUAGUAUAAUAUAAGUUUCAUCAUCACUUAGGAUAUUAGAUGCUUCCUUUAAAUAAUAAUUAGUAGACAUAAUUACUAUAC